UACGUAGGGUCCGAGCGUUGUCCGGAAUUAUUGGGCGUAAAGGGCUCGUAGGCGGUCCGUCACGUCGGGAGUGAAAACUCAGGGCUCAACCCUGAGCGUGCUUCCGAUACGGGCGGACUAGAGGUAUGCAGGGGGAGAACGGAAUUCCUGGUGUAGCGGUGGAAUGCGCAGAUAUCAGGAGGAACACCGGUGGCGAAGGCGGGUCUCUGGGCCGUAACUGACGCUGAGGAGCGAAAGCAUGGGGAGCGAACAGG
rnacentral:rRNA from 1 species